GACGAACGCUGGCGGCGUGCUUAACACAUGCAAGUCGAACGGAAAGGACCUGCUCUUGUGGGGUGCUCGAGUGGCGAACGGGUGAGUAACACGUGAGUAACCUGCCCUUGACUUUGGGAUAACUUCUGGAAACUGGGGCUCAUACCGGAUAGGAGCUCCUGAUGCAUGGUGGGGGUUGGUAAGUUGCGGCGGUUGGGGACGGACUCGCGGCUUAUCAGCUUGUUGGUGAGGUAGUGGCUUACCAAGGCUUUGACGGGUAGCCGGCCUGAGAGGGUGACCGGCCACAUUGGGACUGAGGUACGGCCCAGACGCCUACGGGGGGCAGCAGUGGGAGAUAUUGCACGAUGGGCGGAAGCCUGAUGCAGCAACGCCGCGUGCGGGAUGACGGCCUUCGGGUUGUAAACCGCUUUCGCCUGUGACGAAGCGUGAGUGACGGUAAUGGGUAAAGAAGCACCGGCUAACUACGUG
rnacentral:rRNA from 1 species